GCCGGCGCGAGUUGGGGCGAGGCUUGGCGGCCGGCGGCGGUCCCGGCUGCAGCCCGGGCUCCCGCCGCCCCCCUUGCAGCCCCCGCCCGGCCCACGCCCAGAGGCCGCCCCGGAGGCCGCAGCCAGCCGCCAGGUGGUGAGAGGUGGAUGAGGAAACAGGCACCAGUGCAGCUGAUUUGACCUCCAGUGGGAUAGAUACGAUUAGCACCAGGAUCAUGUCUCAGUUUGAACCCAGAUCUGAACAGAAUUAAGACGAACGAGCUUUCACAAUUGCAGCAGAUGAAGAUCCAUUGGUAAAUCGAUCAGGAUUUUUGGCCUGCCCUCCAAAGAAAAGGAGCGGAAAGAAUGUCGGAACGGGCCGCGGAUGACGUCAGGGGGGAGCCGCGCCGCGCGGCGGCGGCGGCGGGCGGAGCAGCAGCUGCGGCCGCCCGGCAGCAGCAGCAGCAGCAGCAGCAACAGCCUCCGCAGCCCCAGCGGCAGCAGCAGCCGCCACCGCCGCCACGGCGCCCACGGCCGGAGGACGGCGGGCCCGGCGCCGCCUCCACCUCGGCCGCCGCAAUGGCGACGGUCGGGGAGCGCAGGCCUCUGCCCAGUCCUGAAGUGAUGCUGGGACAGUCGUGGAAUCUGUGGGUUGAGGCUUCCAAACUUCCUGGGAAGGACGGGACAGAAUUGGACGAAAGUUUCAAGGAGUUUGGGAAAAACCGCGAAGUCAUGGGGCUCUGUCGGGAAGACAUGCCAAUAUUUGGUUUCUGUCCAGCCCAUGAUGAUUUCUACUUGGUGGUGUGUAACGACUGUAAUCAGGUUGUCAAACCGCAGGCAUUUCAAUCACAUUAUGAAAGAAGACAUAGCUCAUCCAGCAAGCCGCCUUUGGCUGUUCCUCCCACAUCAGUAUUUUCCUUCUUCCCUUCUCUGUCCAAAAGCAAAGGAGGCAGUGCAAGUGGAAGUAACCGUUCUUCCAGUGGAGGUGUUCUUAGCGCAUCCUCAUCAAGUUCCAAGUUGUUGAAAUCACCCAAAGAGAAACUGCAGCUCAGGGGGAACACCAGGCCAAUGCAUCCCGUUCAGCAAAGUAGAGUUCCCCAUGGUAGAAUCAUGACACCCUCUGUGAAAGUGGAGAAGAUUCAUCCGAAAAUGGAUGGCACACUACUGAAAUCUGCGGUGGGGCCAACCUGUCCUGCUACUGUGAGUUCCUUAGUCAAGCCUGGCCUUAACUGCCCGUCAAUACCAAAGCCAACCUUGCCUUCACCUGGACAGAUUCUGAAUGGCAAAGGGCUUCCUGCACCGCCCGCUCUGGAAAAGAAACCUGAAGACAAUUCCAAUAAUAGGAAAUUUUUAAAUAAGAGAUUAUCAGAAAGAGAGUUUGAUCCUGACAUCCACUGUGGGGUUAUUGAUCUCGACACCAAGAAGCCCUGCACCCGGUCUCUGACAUGCAAGACACAUUCCUUAACCCAGCGCAGGGCUGUCCAGGGUAGAAGAAAACGAUUUGAUGUGUUAUUAGCCGAGCACAAAAACAAAACCAGGGAAAAGGAAUUGAUUCGCCAUCCGGACUCUCAGCAACCACCGCAGCCUCUCAGGGACCCGCAUCCCGCCCCUCCUAGAACGUCACAGGAGCCGCACCAAAAUCCUCAUGGAGUGAUUCCUUCCGAAUCAAAGCCUUUUGUAGCUAGUAAACCUAAACCUCACACCCCCAGUCUUCCAAGGCCUCCAGGCUGCCCUGCUCAGCAAGGUGGGAGUGCCCCCAUUGACCCUCCUCCAGUCCAUGAAUCUCCACACCCUCCCCUGCCUGCCACUGAGCCAGCUUCUCGGUUAUCCAGUGAGGAGGGCGAAGGCGAUGACAAAGAAGAGUCUGUUGAAAAACUGGACUGUCAUUAUUCAGGUCAUCAUCCUCAGCCAGCAUCUUUUUGCACAUUUGGGAGCCGGCAGAUUGGAAGAGGCUAUUACGUGUUUGACUCCAGGUGGAAUCGACUUCGCUGCGCCCUCAAUCUCAUGGUGGAGAAGCAUCUGAAUGCACAGCUAUGGAAGAAAAUCCCACCAGUGCCCGGUACCACCUCACCCAUCUCCACACGUAUUCCUCACCGGACAAACUCUGUGCCGACAUCACAAUGUGGAGUCAGCUAUCUGGCAGCAGCCACUGUCUCCACAUCUCCAGCCCUGCUCUCAUCUACCUGCAUCUCCCCAAACAGCAAAUUGGUACCAGCUCAUGGAACCACACUAAAUGCACAGCCUGCUGCUUCAGGGGCUAUGGAUCCUGUGUGCAGUAUGCAAUCCAGACAAGUGUCCUCUUCAUCCUCAUCCCCUUCCACGCCCUCUGGCCUUUCCUCGGUUCCUUCCUCCCCUAUGUCCAGGAAACCUCAGAAAUUGAAAUCCAGCAAAUCUUUGAGGCCCAAGGAGUCUUCUGGUAACAGCACUAACUGUCAAAAUGCCAGUAGCAGUACCAGUGGCGGCUCAGGAAAGAAACGCAAAAACAGUUCCCCACUGUUGGUUCACUCUUCCUCCUCCUCUUCCUCUUCUUCUCAUUCCAUGGAGUCUUUUAGGAAAAACUGUGUGGCUCACUCUGGGCCUCCCUACCCCUCAACGGUAACAUCUUCCCAUAGCAUCGGCCUCAACUGUGUGACGAAUAAAGCAAAUGCGGUGAACAUCCGGCAUGACCAGUCAGGGAGGGGCCCCCCAACCGGGAGCCCUGCUGAAUCCAUCAAGAGGAUGAGUGUGAUGGUGAACAGCAGUGAUUCUACUCUUUCUCUUGGGCCAUUCAUUCACCAGUCCAAUGAACUGCCUGUCAACUCCCACGGCAGUUUUUCCCACUCACACACUCCUCUAGACAAACUCAUAGGAAAGAAAAGAAAGUGCUCACCCAGCUCGAGCAGCAUCAACAACAGCAGCAGCAAACCCACAAAGGUUGCCAAAGUGCCAGCCAUGAACAACGUCCACAUGAAACACACAGGCACCAUCCCAGGGGCACAAGGACUGAUGAACAAUUCUCUCCUUCAUCAGGAUAUCUCCUCACCUUGCUUACGAACAGGAAUUUCAGCAACAUCACCCCAGAGCCCUGACUUAAAAUCCAAAGGCACGUCCCUGACAGCUGAAAAUAGCACGGGGAGGAAUAAUGCGGACACUUUUGAGGACAAGUUACACCUCCACUCAGCACUCUGGACUCCACGAUGCCUUUGAGUCUGUUUUCCCAACCUCCUGUGGGCCUCAAGGGUAGAAACCUGCCGGGCUGUUGUUUUAACGAGGAUUUCCCUGAAGCUAUGUCUCUAGCAGUGAGUACUCAUAAAGGACACUGGAUCAAGUUCAGCCACCGAAUUGCUUUUAUCAGUGUUAAAGUGGUCUGGACUGCUUGCUACCAAUCUGUGAGAAGUUUCUGUUUUUGUUUUUUAACUUGCAGUAUAUCACGGAGCCACUCUUCAAGUAGAUUGGCUGGGCAAAAGAAUGUUUUGGCAAGAGCGUUACUGUAGACCUUUCUCCCUCCUUCCUUUUACUACCAGUUUUUUUUAACACUGUCAUCUGUAGGUCACUCUCCAGCAGUAAGGCACCUUAACUGGAGACCAGAAACCUUCCAGAGAACAGAGGGCUGCAUCCUGAGCAACUCUCUGAAGAAGGGAAUUAGGCUUUAGAUUUUGAUAGCAAUGUUCCAGGAAUGAAAUAUAGAUGUUAGCCCAAGGCACCAUGACAAAAUAGCCCAGCCUUUUGAGAGUAAUUUGGGAAAAGAAGCUGUCAGAAGUUUCUAACUUACAAACUGGUUUGAAAUUUUUGAUGCCCACACAGCAAGUAUAAAUCAUUUUGGAGGCUUACUUUUCAUGAUACAAAAGCAAUUCUGUGUGAUUUUUUUUUUUUAAGAAGAAAGAAAAUGCAAGCUAGUUUUGAGAAAGGAAGGCCAAAUUGGGUCGGGGGAGGGUGGGAGUGAGGAAGUUAAAAUCACUAUAGGGAGAAAAAACUUUUUUCAAGAUUUCCAAAGAGAUGAAAUUUUCUUAAUCCUUUCAGUAUGGCAGAUUGGGUUGGUUGUCCUACCUGGUCUAUUUUUAAAAGUCACCUUUUAAAGUGACAUUAUUAGAUACACUUAAAUGUUUCCAAGGCACUCUCUGCAUUACCCUUGUUUUUCUCUUUGGAUACUGUCCCGGGACUAAGUAUAGAUUUCCGCUUCAAGCACUUCUGGCACUGUGUGUUUUUGUAUGCACUCCCCUUCAUGCCACUCCAGAUGUUUAUUUGGAUGUGGUUGAGGACAAGAGCAGACACCAAGGGAAGGGAGUUGGAGAACAUGUAAGUCCUGACCUGAAGGUCUUUUGUGAUGCGUGUAUAGGAUUGCCCUAACACACACCCUCCUUUCUUAGGAUUAUACCAGCCAUCUUCCUGAGAGUUUUGGAGCCCUCUAGGAUAUUUUUUCUAGUACCCCACCCCCCACCCCUAAAGAAAGACCUUAGUAUGUUAAAACAGCAUUGCUUGGAGAAGGUGUCAUUGAAUUUGGGGAUGAGCCGGAGCCUUUAAAUGGGUGCUUCCGCCACUACAGGCUCCUGACACGAGAACCAGGCACUGUUGCUUAGAAGAACACACAAAGUUGCCGAACACAGGGUAAAAUUUCCAAGGCGCUGAUCAUUGCCCUGGCCAGGGCCUCAUGAGAGCCAGUCAGUACAUUCUUUUUUUCCUACAGUUCUUGGGUUUCAAACUUCAGUUUCAGGGAAUUUCAAGUCAACAACAGGUAGAAUGCAUAAACUUGGUUACCAGCCUAAUAAUGUGAAUUGCUACAGAAUUAUUCUUAUUAUGUAAGAAAACAAAAACUUUAUGCAGAUACUUUAGCUAUAAAUUGAUGUAAAAUACUGAUUUUUUUAAAGGAAGGAGAGAACAGUAUCUUGUUCAAUUAUUAUGCAAUCAAUCAGUAAAUGUUUUUAAAAUGAUACUACAGGAGAGCUUAGUAAGGAGAGGGCAUGGAUGGGCCAGUUUGGCAUAGUUGGGAGAAAUCAGUCUGGUUUCCAUCCCGGUCGGGGAAGAGAGAGGUGAGAGGGAAUCAGAACGUACCUAGUUGAUUCCUUGGUGACAAGUGCAAUGGGGUAUGGGUAGAAUUUAUUUUCAGAGCCAAGAGGACUUGAUGGUUAUAAAUAAAGUUGCCUUUAGCAGUGGAAUUUACAGAUAGAUCAUGUUGUUCCGAAAGAUGUGAAUAGGAUCCACGAUAACAAGUUGAUUCAGACUAAUGUAGAUAUUUAGAUUAGCAAGUAUUGAACAUUUGAUUUCUUAGACUGAGGUUUUAAUUGAAUUUCAUUAUGUCUCCCGGUAAUACACAGAGCGUCGGGAUUAGGAAAUUAGCCAUUUUGGAUUCUGCCUGCCACAAACAGACCUAUUCUAAACAGUGCUAUUAAAUUUUAGACUGUUGUUCAAAUAUUUUAUUUUCUCCUACAACUACUUUUUAUGAUGAUGAAUAAUUAAGACCAUUUAAAACACGGGAGUACAAGUAUUUUUUUGAAUUAAAUUAACUUGCAAAAACCAAAUUUGCAGUGGUUGGGUUGUUUCUAGACAGACUUUGGUAUCAAUUUAAAACCAAGAUAAUUUUUAUAUUCUUUCCAAUAGAAUUUCAUGACAACUCCUGCAGUUUUCUUAACCUACAAAAAAAAAAAAAAAAAAAAAAAAAGUGCUGCAAUGAUGAACAAAGAAUUAUACAAAACCUACUUUUGUAUCUUUAUUUUGGAAUUUCUUGUUCUAUUAUAAAUAUGGAAGUAUCCCUAUUUCAGAAGACAUAUUUUGUUAAAAAUGAAUUGUACAUAUUUAAAUAUGUAUUUUUGCACAGGUCUUUUUUUCUGAUAUCCUGUUUUGGUACAAUUGAGAUCAUCUAGUAUUUAUUUAUUAAUUAAUAAAAGUAAAUACCUUUUUAUAAUUUGAAGUGGUUCACUGCCAAGCCAAUAGUUCUAGAACCUGCCUCCUUUACAGUUUUAAGGGAUGCCUCUGUUCUGUGAAAAGUCUUUGUCCCUUUUAGUGUCUCGGGAGUGGAUUCAUACAGAUGAAGUGGGCAUUGCUUCUUCCUGGUUGCCUGGUUUCCCGAUAGACUACAUGUAACUAAGUGACACACUGCUUUUCUUUUGUUAGUAUUUUAUGUGUGAGAGUAUGUGAUUGCGUGCGUGUGUGCCUGUGUGUGUGUGUAUACUCUGAGCACAUGUAUGUUAGUAUGUGAUGUGGUUUAAAACUAAUGGAAAAAACUGAAAGUGCCUGAUACUAGUUUUAAGCUUAGACAGAAUCUCUUUAAAAAGACUUGAAUGUUCAGUUGAACUUUUGGAGUUUGCUUUUUCCACCUAAAUAUUGUUUCCAAAAUUUUAGGGGAGGAGUUGAAAACCACCAAUGCUGGUAAUUUUAUAAGGUAUUUUAAAAUUAAGACCUCUUGGUUCAUAGUAAUUCAGUUGGUGAUGGAUUGCCUGGUGGCACCAAGGGUUACAGAUCUUUUUGUCAGCCAGCAACUUACACGAUGUGUCCGUUUUGUUAUUCAUUCAUGAAAUACAAUUUAAAAUAUUUAAAAUAUUUUGUAUUCCAAAAAUAUAAUACAAAGAAGUACCUCUGAGAACAUUGAAGAAAAUGUAUAAUUUGAAAAAUGUAACUUAUAAAGGCAGCUGUCUUCCUGCAAGAGUUCUGUUGCCAAGGAAUUUCUUAAUGUCGCUCAUUCUGUCCAGGGGGUUUGGGGCGAUUGGGCUUUGAAAAAAUAUUGUUAAAAGUUUGUUUAGCAGAAAAUAAUCAUUUUUACAUUUUGUGCAAAACAUUUUACAUUUUCAGAUAAUUUAAAUGAGCACUACAUACUGUCAGUGUGAAUGUAGGGCCUUGAAAGCAUUUUGCUUUUUUUUUUUUUUUUUUUUUUUUUUGAGCUUGGUUAUAAAAGCAAUCUCCUGUGUUAAAAACGUGUGAAUAGUUUGAUAAUUUGUACACAUAAUCAAGAGCAUCUCAGCUGGACUUUGUGUUGGCUGCUGUAUAGAACAUGAACAAAUGUCAAGGGAUAGAAAAUUACUUUGGAUAUUUAAAAGAGAAGAAAUAUAUAGUCUAUUUGUUUUGUAACAAGUUUCUGUAAAUAAAAUAAUUUAUACUAUUUAUAAGAAAAGCUUGUGCUUUGCUUUAUAAGAAAUUAGCUUGUGGAACAAACAUGUUACUAAACGGGCAAUAAAAUUAGGACUUCUCAAUAAAUAAGGUUGGCUGCAUGAAAUAUUUUACAUGUUUCUGCCUCGUGAUACUAAACCUUUUCAGUCUACUCUGACUUUUCAUCGCUUUUGGCAUUGAACACCCUUGUGAAGCCCCUUCAAUUUAGCCUCCUCUUAUAUAAGCUAAAUACUUCUAAGGCCUGGGGAUGUUUCCAUCUGGGGGCACAAAGCUUUGCUUUGGAUAAAUUAGUAACUGUGUAAACAGUGAACAUUACUGUAUUGUGGCCUUGCAUGUUUGUGAAGGAAACAAGAGGGAGUUGAUGGAUUGAGAAACACAUUCUGUUUGUACUUAGGUGCAAAUUUGAUGACAUGUAGUUUUGGUUUAAGAUAAGCUUUUUAUCCAGACCUGGUCUAAUCUCUUCCUUUCUUUUACAUACCUCCCUUAAUGGCAAUACAAGUGCAUUUUAGUAUUAUUUGGAACACAGCAUAAUCAUUUACCUCUAGAAAUCCAGACAUUUUUACUGUUUGCACAUAAAUCAUUCUGAUAAAUUAUUUUGUUGCUUAAAAUAAGAGGAGCAACUGCUUUGUGUGUUAGCAAGAAUGUCCAUACCUGAUAUGAAAGAGUCAUGUUGGCUUCAGUUCCUACUGCCCUGUGGACUUCCCGUUCCCUCCUUACUUAAGGCAACCACCCACUCAGUACUUUCCACAAAUCUAAUAAUGAGGUGCUCUCUGUAGGUAAAUCCUUUCACUAUGGCUGUCCUCAAACCUCCCAAGAAAAGGUUCAACUGCUCAAUCUCUUACCCUUUUUAAUUCCAUUCCCUUGCAGGUAUUGCGGCCCUGCAUAACAAGAUGAUCCCAACUCAAGGAAAGGGGUUUAGCAGUGUUGGAUCUUGGCGUAUGUGGGAUUUAACCAGGCAGAAAGGCAGACAAGAGUAAGAUUCUAGGCAGAGAGAGCAAAUGCAUCGAGCAUGGGUAUGAAGAUGUGAGGGAUAGAGAAUAAUUCUGCAGGAAGUUUGCUGGAUGGAAGGGCCUUAUAGGGUUAGAAAAGCUGGUGUUUGACUGUCAAGGACUUGGAAUGUCAUGGGGCUUCUCAUCCAGGAACACAUGGGAUCAGGCUUAGAUUAACCCAAAUGUAAUUGUCAGAGCCCAGAGAUAUUUCAUGGUCCAGUCCUAGCACUGUGCAGCUGCCAAAAGUCAAAGCCGUUCAAAUCUGUACUGAAAACUGUGGAAAAGCAAAGGAGCACUUAAGUCUCUUUCCCCAUCUCUUGCAUUCUCACUCUCUUUUGCCUGAAAGAUCUGUCUUUACCUGCCCCUGUCCCCAGUCCUAACAAAAAGCACUCCCCUAAAUCAAGUCUAAGUUCCUCUCCCUUCUCACUCCUUUCUUAGUCUCCUCUUUCUCGUAAGAAGUUCUUGCUCCUGUUGUUAAUGGAAGUUAAUUAAAGUAGUCUUUCACCUUUUAAGGCUGUAAUUCUUGGCACUUGUUAUCCUCAUUUUCUACAUCCAAAACCCAUGGACCAGAAUAUCUCUUAGGAGGUAAGGGAGAGUGAGGCUAUCAGCCAAAGAAAAAGUCUCCAGGGGGAAGGGGAGAAUCACUUAUAAUUUAAUACUUUGUCAAAAAAACAUCUCUGCCAUCUAUGGCCCUCCAAUAACAAUGGAAGACAGCAUCAACAGGUGAGAACCUCGGGACAAAAAUAAGUUACAAAGCUGUUGUAAUCCAGGUAAGAGCUAUUGAGUUUCCAGACGAAGGCUGACUGAGGAUAACUGAUACUGAUUUCAGAAAUCUUUAAAAAGUAGAACCAACAAGCCUUAAGGUGUAAUUCUGUUCAACAUUAAAGGGAAGAGUGAGUCUAAGAAGACUUCAGGUUUCUAGCUUGGCCAAACCAAUUGAGCUUUAAGUGAAAUGUGCGAUAUGGCAACAGAGAAGGAAAAAGACAUAACGAUAGAUUUGAGCUGCUGGUGGGAAAUUCUGGUUUAGUGCCCAGCUGGCUGUACAGGCUGGAUGGACCUUAGGAGGGAGGUUUGAGCUGGAAAAUAAAGAUGGAGGUUUGAGCUGGAAAAUAAAGAAAGUCUUUCACUUUUAGAUGAUCAAUGAGGUCAUAAGGGUAGAUGAGUUUACCUGGGAAAAUUAAGUAGCUAUUUGAUUUGGCUUAUUAUUAUGUUAAAAUAAUACUUCUCUAGUUAAGUACUUAAUAUGCCAGAUACUGUGCCAAGCAUUUUAUAUACAUCCUCUCUUUUACUAAGCCCUCAUAGGGCAGGUAUUUUGAUUCCAAUCAUACUGAUUGGAACUCCUAAGAACGUAUCUUGCUUAAGGUCCCACAACGAAUAGGUGGCAGAUCCAGGGUAAUUCAGGUCUGUCAGAACAGUGAUUCUUAAUUUUUCCCUUCCUCAGACUCCAGGAAUCACAUGAAGUUAUGGAUCCUGUCUGACCGAGGCACAGGCACACCACAUUUUUAUAUUCCGCUUCCAGGAUAUCACAAACCUGAAGCCCAUCCUCCAUGGCCCAGAGAGAAAACCCAGGACAAAACCCUGGAGAAGAGCAUUUUCGUGAAGACAAAUGGAGAAGAACACUAGAGUAAAAAGAGAGCAAAUCCAGCUGCCUGUACAAUCCAUGCCACUGAAUGCCAUAAGUGAGACUUAAAAGUUAAGAUACUGAAGAGACAUAACCUGACCAAGGCCACAGAGCUGGAAAAAGAAGCAAAGCCAAGCCCUUUUUCUCAUGCACUGCUCACAACAAGCCACUCCUUCCACUGACUCACGAAAAACACACUCAUAAUGCCCAGCCCGCACCCUAAUGAACAACCCUCUUAGAGUGGUCAUCAGACUUCAAUUUCACAGACUAGAAUUCAGAAAUGGAACAAAACCUCGGGAUACCAGCCUUCCAUUUUGGUAGGGAUCAUUUAAAAAAUGUGUUGGUGUCUCAAACUUACUUUGAAGUGGUUAAAAAACAUAAAAUGUAUAGAUUGUAACAAGCAAAUAUGUUAAAAUGUACUGUACAAUUCUUUACAAUUUUAUGGAUGUUUGAAAUUUAAAAAAUACUAAAAAGAGAAUGGUCUUAUUUAAAAGAAAUGCAUCUUCAUUUAAGGUUUCCACUGCGGACCACUGAAAACACCAUCAUCCACAUUUAAAAACACCUACAUGUGGAAGCCACUGAUCUAGAUACCAUCUGGACAUCUCAUAUUGUGUAUGUCUCCUCCCCCAACUCUACUCUCACCACCCUCGUCCAUACCACGGUAACAUCUCCUCCAAGAGCUACUAAACAGCACAACUGGUCUCUCUGCCACCUUACUCUAUUUCUUAUAUAAAGACACUGCAUAGGACCAUGUAACUUGGGCUCUAAAUCUUCCAAUAGCUCCCUAUCAAACUUAAAACUCAAGCUCCAUUCCAUGACCUACAAGGCCCUACACAAAUCAUCACCUACCUAACUCUCCACUUAUUAUCCUCACAAUCUCCUACCGCUCCCCUAACUAUGCUGGAGCCACACUGACAUUUUCUGUUCCUACAACAUCCAAGCUUAUUCCUGGCUCAAAGCCUUAGCCUUUUCUAUUCCCUCUUCUGCAUGCAGAAGGACUCCACAUGGCUGACUCCUCUCAAUUCAAAUCUCAGAGCAAACCUCACCUCCUCAAGCAUGCCGUAUGUAAGGAUAGCAUUUUCUCAUCUCCAUAGGUUCAUUUCUAUGUGAAAUUACCUUUUAUAUUUAUUUGCUUCCUUGCCAUCUCUUCCCUACUACUACAAUGAAAGUCUGUGAAGAGGGAGCUGUAAAACAAUACCAAACAUACAGUAAUGAAUGGCUCAUUAAGUAUUUGUUCAAUCACUGAUGCAAGUACUAAAAGUCCCACAUUUAACAACCAAUCUGACCAGAAUUGCAGCAGCAACCUAAAAACUGGAAGGAAUUAUCAGAGGGAAUAUGACCAACUGUAAAAUAUCAGAUCGAAGAGUCAUUACCGUAGCUGCAGUGUGGUCUACAAAGAAGUUAACAGAAGACAACUUUUGAUAACAACUGGUCUAAUGACCUUUAACAAAUCACUUAGCCUCACUACAACUCAUUUUCCCAUCUGUUAAUGCAAGGGGCAGACAAGAAGAAGGCAGAGGCAACAGGAUAUGAAUGUUUUGAUAAUAUUGAGGAAAAAACCUCCCCCCUCCCCGUUAAGAUUGAGGGAACCAAUGUAAACAAGUAAAAAAUUGUACAAGUUCACAUAUUUUAAAAGGCAACUUUAAAACUUCAAUUAACAUGGCAUUAUUCAAACUUACUGAUCAAUGAAUUCCACACCAACACCAAAUGCUUCUGCCAUGUAGCCAAGGGUUAAUGACCUAUAUGAUUCCAGCAGCUGACUGUAUGCAUGAAUUCUCAUUUCUCUUACAUAGUAUCGAUAAUGAGGGGCAAAAAGCCAGUCCUUUUUCAUUUCCUGUUCCACAACCGCUGCAAUGAAUAAAAUGACAAAUUAUAAUAGACUCUCCUUUUCAGAUAAAAAGAUUAAAAACUAAAGCAACACUAGUUGAGUCCAACAGAUAGAUGAACAAGUAUCAAAUUUCUCACUGCCCUUCCACAUCAUGUCAUCAACAAUGGCAGCAACAGCAGUGAUAAAGGAGGGGCCAGGUAUGCAAACAUCGUCUUUAGCUAUUUGACAUCACUAUCAGAAAGAGCUCAGCUUCUAAAGGAACUUGUUCACAGAUGACAAAGUUCAUGUACUAAUAUUUUAACCACGGAGAACUUCUUAGGCCUUAAGUAAAAUAAAGUAAAAUUCAUUUUUUAAACAAUUCUAACAGAGAAACAGCAGGUACAGUAAAAAGCGAUUUAUACAGACCAGAAAAAAGGUAUAAAUCAGACAUUUUCAAAAAGCAACAAAACUCAGAAGCAAGAAAGCAAAGACUGAUGACUCCUAUUUCCUGUUUAUUUGUUCACGUAAAUAGUCUACAUAAGAAAACACUAUGAACAAGGUUUGAAGACAAAUGAUAAACUAGAAAAUUUAUUUAUAAUGAUGAGUUAAUGGCCUUAAUCCAGAAGAGAUCUUUAGAAGCCAGUAAAAUGUACGUAGAGUAUUAAUGAUCAAUCCACACAAAUAUAAGUUAUUUUACUGAAUAACUCCUGUAUAUCACUACUCUAGAUAGUUAUAUGGCAGUGAACCAAAAGACAAGACCCUUGCUGCCACAAAAACUAAAUUUUCAAAGGGCAGAGACAGAUGAACAAAUCUACAAGAUAAAUCCUGUGAAGAAAAUAAAAGUAACAUGAGAGUGACUAGGAAGCCCUCCACUGAAUUGGGGUGGACAGGGAAUACCUCUCUGAGGGGCUGGCUAAGCACAGAGCAAUGUAAAUGAUACAAAAGUCUGAAGGCAGGAAAAGCAUGGUUAAGCCCAGGAACAGAAAGGAUGCCAGACUCAGAAUGCAAACAGGAAGACAGCAACAGGUAUAUAGAAGGUGAACAAGAAAAGAGACUCUAGAGUAUACUUAUGUUUGUGGUUUCAACAAGAUGGAAAUCCCUGGAGAAGGAGAAUAUUUGUUUUUAGUGUUGGGGGUGAGGGUGGGAUUCAAGCAUACUUCGGCAGUGUUCAAGUGGAUAUGCCUAUUAAACAGCCAAGUGAGGACACUAAGGAGGCAUUAAGGCAUGAGUCUGGUGCUCCAGUUUGGGGCUGGCGACAUGAAUUUGUCAAUCACUGCCAUCCAAAUGUAUCUGAUGGCACAAAAUGAAGAUAAGAAACAAGGGCAAUAACCCAGUCUAAGGCAGGCAGACACUGAGGUCUGACAGUGGAUGAGGAGGUAGGUCCAGAGAAAACAAGAGCAUGUUACUGCAGAACCAAGAGAAAGCUGUGGUGAGAAGCAAAGGAUGGUCAACACCAAGGCAGAUAAAGAUAAGCAAGGGAACACACGAUUUAGCAACAUGUAGAUCAAUGGCCAUUAACCAUGAGAUGGUACGUAUUCUCACUAAUAAGAGAAAUGCAUAAAACAUCAAUAAAAUUGCUUCUGUCCUCUCAGACUGGCAAAGAGUAUGGAGAGGGUGGGACAGGCUCUCUCAAAUGCCAUAGAUUGAGAGAAGUAUAAAUUGUGUAAAUGUAAACUGACAUAUUUCUGGAGGGCAACAGUGGUCAAGACACAAUAUAUUUAACCUUUGGAAAGUUCAAUUUCUUAGACUUUUCCCCCAAGGAAAUAACAAGUGGGAAGAUGCAUUAUUGGAGUGUUCAAAACGGUUGCUUAUAAUAGAGCAAAACUGGAAACGACCUAGUUUUCUAUCAGUAGAGGAUAAAUUAUGGCAUAGCCAAUACAUUGAAAUACUAGGAAGUCCUUAAGAAAGGAUAACCUGAAUCUCCUAGGAACACUACCUGUUCAAUUUGCUGCUAUUCUCAAUGUUAGUACAUGAUAGCCACUAAAAAACACUUACUAAAUGACCAACUAUAUGUAUAAUGACAUGAAAAGAUAUACAUGUUACUUGUGAAGAGAAAAAAAGGUACUUACAAAACAGCAUAUAAAAUACAUCCACAAUACACAAAAGUGUUACAUGCUUGUAUCUCCGGAUAACAGUGCCCCUGAAGGGCACACUGGAAAAACCUGGUUAACAGCAGUUGCCUCUAGAGAAAGGACACUGGUGAUCAGAUAUUAGAGAAAGCCUUUUUCUUCUUUAUAUGAUACUGUUUACAACUGUUCCAUAUGUACAUAUAACUUUGGUUUUUAAAUGUUUUUUCUUUUUUAAAAAGUGCAUAUAAUAAACGAGUAAAAGGC